rnacentral:misc_RNA from 1 species
AGAUUCUGUUGGUAACGAUGCGAGUGAUAAUGAUAAUGAGAUGUAGACUACAAAUAUAUGUAAUUGAUUUAUUUUUAUAUUUAGUCUGUAUUUAGAACAUGGAUAAAAAAAUACAUUAUAUAUUAUGUCCAUUUUAUAUUUCAUCCGUUGAAAUGAAAAAAAUUCAUUCAUAUUAUAAUUCUAACUUUCUAUCCUUAACCUCAUAAAUCUAUUUUGUACUUUGUCCGUAAUGUUACGUUUAUCCUGUCUGUCGUUUAACAUUUGAUCGAGAUAUCUCGAAAUAACAUGAUCGAAUGUAUAAGAUGGCGGCCCAUUGAUGAGUUCAUGUAUGUGUGUAAUUAUUUUGUGCAGUGAUUCUAUAAUUUUUUCUUACCAACAAUUUAUAAACCAUAAUUAUGGGCACAUCAGAUUUAGAAUGUAUAGAGUCUAAAAGAGACAUGGUUACUAUAGAUUCUGAAUCCGAUAUGUUAGUUGACCAAAGAAAGAAAAAGAAAAGAAAACAUAAACACCAUAAACAUAAGAAAGAUAAAUUAAUUGAAAGAGAAGAUGGCAGAAUAGAACGUCAAGAAAAAAAAAGACAUAAGAAACAUAAACGACCUAAAAAAGAAAGGGAAACUGAAAAUGGAUCAAUGAAUGAUAAAACAUCGCGUAUAAUUCAAAAAGAUUUAGGUAUAAAUGGCAAAGUAAAGAAUUCUUUAUUAGAGGUGGUUUCUACUGAAGAAAGUGAAGAUGAGAAAUUAGUAGAUUUAGAUUCAGAUGAGGUAGAUUGUACGAUUAUUGAAGAUGAUAUUGAUCUUGAAGAAUUAAUGAAACAAAAGGAGAGGUUACAAGCAUGUUUAGUUCAAUACCUUUCAGAUGAAUCUGAAAAAGAAGAUAAAGAACCAGAUCAAGAUGAAAUAAAAACCACUGAAACACCUGAUGUUAUACUUGUAGAGGAUGAUAGUGAAAAUGAUAACAUACCUCCCAAAAAACGAGCUAGGAGUAAAUCUGGUAGUAGAGAACGCAAAAAAAUAGCAAAACCCGAAAGACGUGUAGUAGUAGAUAUGACUAGGGAUCGUAAGAAUCGAGAAGAGCAUAAAGAUAAACGUAGAGAAUUAGAAAGGAGAAAAGAGGAAAAAAUUCGUACUAAAGAGGAAACUAGGAGAGAUGAUAGUAGAAAGGAUGAUAGACAAAUACGGAAACCAAAUGAUAGACACAGAGAAGAUUCUCGAAAGGAAGAUAGUAAAAGGCGAUUAGAAGAUGAUAAACGUAGAGAUUCUAUUAAAAAAGAUGAAUCACGUAAAAAAGAACAAGAUAAAAGAGAAGAAGAACGACGACGAGAUUCAGAUCAUCAUAAUUCCAGAUCCCGUAAUGAAUGCAAAUCAUUAGAUAAAACUGAUAAAUCUCGACGCGAGAGUCGCGAUAGAUUAGAAAAUCGAGAACGACAAAAUAGUCGAGAUCGACAUCUAAGUCGUGAUAGACAUAUUAGUCGAGAUCGUCACAUUAGUCGAGACCGACAUAUUAGUCGAGAUAGACAUACUAGUCGAGAUCGUCAUACCAGUAAAGAUCGACCAACUAGUCGCGAUCGUCGUAGUCGAGAUAGACCUGCCAGCAGAGAUCGACAUAGUCGUGAUAAAAGAGACAGCAAAGAGCAUUAUACUGAUCGCGAUCGAAUUAGAGAUAGUAGAAAUAGUCGUGAUCAUAAUGACAUACGAGAUCGACGAGACAGUCGAAAUCAUGACAGAAUUAGGGAACGUUCAAGAAGUACAAGAAGAUCCCGCAGUCCUAUUAGGAGUAGAUUGGAUAGAGAUCGAAAUGAUCGGUACAAACGAUCUAGAUCACUUUCUCGAAAUAGAAGAGAUAGAGAUAAGCAUAGAGAUAGAGAUCAUGAUAGAGAUAAAGAAAAAACUAGUAAAAGAGAACGUAAUGAUAAAUUUAAAGAUUCUUUAUCAGAAGGACUCAAAGUAGAACAUUCAGAAACAUCGAGUGAAGAGGAUAUCAAAGAUAUUGAUAUUGAAGAAGAGGAAGAUGAAGAAGUUAUUAUUGAACGUAGGAGGAAACAAAGAGAGGAACUUCUAAAGAGGUUAGGUGGUCCAAACGAAGAUUCAAAUAUGUCCGCUGACAUUAAUAUUGUUCCUGCAACUCCACCUUCUGAAAGUCAAUCAAAUGUAUCACAGAAAUCAAUAGAAGUUCCGUCUAAUAAUAACGAAUCUACUUCAGAAAGUCAUACUCCACCAUUGCCCGAGAAACCAAAAUCACCACAAAUUAAGAAAAGAAAAUCUAGAUUUGAAGAUGUUCUACCAGAAGAAAUUGAUAAAAACGAAGAUAUAAAACCAACAGAAAAAAUUAAACAAGAAGAAAAACAAAAUUCGAAAAAAUCGAAUGAAUGGGACAUGUUUGCUGAGGCAGAUAAUAUCGGUGAUUUUAAUAGUCCUACAGUUGAAGGAAAACGACAAGGUGGACCAGAUAAUCCAAGUUUAACAGAUAAUUGGGAUGAUGCAGAAGGAUACUACCGAGUACGUGUGGGAGAAACAUUAGAUUCUCGAUAUGUUGUUUAUGGAUAUACUGGUCAAGGUGUAUUUAGUAAUGUUGUAAGAGCUAGAGAUACUGCUAGAGGCAAUUUAGAUGUUGCUGUAAAAAUAAUAAGAAACAAUGAAAUAAUGCACAAAACUGGCCUUAAAGAAUUAGAAAUUCUUCGAAAACUUAAUGAUGCCGAUCCUGAAGAUAGAUUUCAUUGUUUAAGAUUAUUUAGACAUUUCUUUCAUAAGAAUCAUUUAUGUAUGGUUUUUGAACCUUUAGCCAUGAAUUUAAGAGAGGUUUUAAAAAAAUAUGGAAAAGACGUUGGUUUACAUGUUAAAGCGGUAAGAUCAUAUACGCAGCAACUUUUCCUUGCACUCAAAUUAUUAAAACGUGCAAAUAUUUUGCAUGCUGACAUCAAACCAGAUAAUAUUCUAGUCAGUGAAAGCAAGCUAGUACUGAAAUUAUGCGAUUUUGGGUCAGCAUCUCAUGCUCAUGAGAAUGAGAUAACACCAUAUUUGGUAUCAAGAUUUUAUCGAGCACCUGAAAUUAUUCUUGGUAUACCAUAUGAUUUCGGCAUUGAUAUGUGGUCUGUGGGAUGUACCAUAUAUGAAUUAUAUACGGGAAAAAUAAUGUUCUCGGGCAAAACAAACAACCAAAUGUUGAAAUUCUUCAUGGACUUGAAAGGCAAAAUGCCUAAUAAACUGAUUAGGAAAGGCUCAUUCAAGGAUCUACAUUUUGACUCUAACUGCAAUUUCCUAUAUCAUGAAGUUGAUAAAGUCACCGAGCGGGAAAAAGUUGUAGUUAUGUCUACUUUAUCUGCUACUCGUGAUCUAAGCGCAGAAUUAGGUGGAAAUUCUUUGCCACCAGAACAAAGUCGGAAAGUUGGACAGCUUAAGGAUCUUUUGGAACGAACAUUGAUGUUGGAUGCAGGAAAAAGAAUCACUGUGAAUCAUGCCCUGGCACAUCCAUUUAUACAAGAAAAAAUUUAGGUAACCCUGUCCGGGGUCCAUCCACAUCGGAGAAUUUGACGUAAUUUUGCAAAAAGAAUGUUUGAAACGACACCGCUAACGAUUCGUUGUAUAUCAUAAAAGCAUUACUAACAUAAUGCGGUGUCUAUUUAUAUCGAAUGUCCUAUAUCCGUUUCAGCAGAAAGAGGCGGUGCAAAAUUUUACAUUUCACUUACUCCAUCUGAAUAAAACAGGAAAACAUAUAAUGGGAGGAACGAAAAAUUAUUUGAAUCACAUAUUGUACUCUAUCAAUCUGAACUGUAUUAUUUAAUUAAUGAUAACUAUUGCAGGUCAAUAGAGUGCAAUAUCUUUAUAUUAAUUAAAAACCACUACAUAAAAAUGAUGCAUAAAAUAUUGGAGUUCGCCAUUGAUGCAUUUAUCGACGAUUGUAAAAACAACAUGUUUGUAUUCUACAGUGUACUGUAUCAGAGAGCGUAAUGAUUUUUUCGUGUAAAUUUGUUUGAAAUGAAAACCACGAUUUGGUUUAUUUCUUUUCUUUCUUUGUGCACAGCAGUUAUAAAGUAAUAAAUCCAACACGAUGAAUACUAGAGGAAGAGGCUUGAUGAAUAUAUGCGGUAUACAAUAUUCUUCCGUGGACGAAAAUGAAAAACUGGGAAAAGUGACCGCCUCUUUCAGCAUGAACUGGCCAUCGAUACUUAGCAUAAUGGUGAUAUGAGUCUUCGAUUCAAAGCAUCAAUAAGUGAGGGUGGACCUUUCAUGGGCUUUUAACGCUGAUCCCGUUGCAAGCCCUCCCUGUGUGGAGGGGAGGCAAUGGAAGAGAUGAAGGAAAACGGGGCGAGAUUCUCUCGACCGCACGCAGCUUGACAACUGUAUUAAAAUGAUGCCUAUCGCAGAAAGGAUCGCCAAAUAUGUAAUAUAGAUUUAUAUCAACAGGAAGGUUUGUCAUGAAAUUUCAUUGAAAUU